rnacentral:lncRNA from 1 species
GAAAGCUUGACGGCGAGAGCCAAUUUCGGAUCCAAGCUUGAGGUGGGAGCCAAUUCCGGAUCUAAGACGGAAGAUUGAAGAAAUUCAGAGGAUAAGGUUAGGGGGGAAUCGGAGGGGAGCUAGUUUUCAAAGCUUUUGCAAGGUUACCAGUUCGUUUUUUUUGGAGGUUUUUGAAGAUCAAGGGAAUUAGAGAGAGGAGCUUCAUGCUUCGGGUCGGGGAAGGAAAGACAUAGAAUUUGGAUUUUUCUUCUUCGUAGAGUUUUGGGAAGACUGAGGCAAUCGCUGCUAAAGUCAAUGUUGUAAUGGUGAAUCGGGAUUUUUAAAUGAAGUGGGUUUGAAUACUCUUGACUGUUUUGUAAAAUCGAGUUACGUCUGUGAUUGAAGGAUUAAAGGGGUGUCUAUAGGAUUGAGUAUGCGGAGUGAAUGAAAUUUAUUGGGUUAAUCUAA